GCAACGUGAUGGCGGCGGCGCCGCCGCCGUCCCCCCUCCGCGGCGGGCGGGGGGGCCUAGUCCCGCCUGCGGGUUGCGGAAGGGAGCGGUGCUUCGAGGCCCUCGCUUUUGGGGGUGGGCGCAGGUCGGGCCCCGGAGCCCUUCCCCGGGAGAGCUGCGUGGGGGUGCCGGGGGUGGCAGCGGGGUGGUUUCCCGCGCAGAGCAGAAGGCGGGCGCUCCCUCAGGGGCAGACCUCGGCGCUGAGGGAGCGGAGGAGGGACAGGCGGCCGGGGCGGGUGUGUGUGUGUGGGGGGGACACACACAGGGGUCCAAAGGAGAGCCCCCGGCCGGGUGUCUGUGGCAAGGCAGCGGCCCCGUUGGCUUGGCAGGGGUUCGACGCCGAGCAGCUUGACGGUGUCCCCUCUGUUGUGGGUGGAAAGUUACCCUCAGAAGACUUGUGAGGCAGGCUGAAUAAUUCCUUUGUGGCGAGGUAGACAAGCAGUGACUCCCAGGGAGCAGAGACUGGGAACUCCUCAGCUGAGGAGUCACCAGUGAGACAUUCGGCAGGUUACCAGCAGGCAGGCCCACAUCAGCAGGGUGAGCCCUGGGCAUCUUCAGGGAGCCCCCCGGACAUAUUUUGCAGAUCACUUUCUUAGCCUACAACGACUCUCUUGUGUAGAUUAACAAGACAAGCUAAGUGUCCCACACCUGA